rnacentral:misc_RNA from 1 species
CUCUGCGUCGUCGUGUUAGUAUUAUCACACAUCGCAAUUACUUGAUUACUCCUAUGGCGGUCACGCGAAAAUAGAAAAAGAUACAAAAACAAAAAAGGUAUUGCAAAGAGAGGGAAACGGAAAGAAAAAGUGAUCGUUAAACGUAAACGAGCAAGAGACAGACGACGUUGCAAUUAAGAUUCAAAACAACAGUAGUCCUUUCACGUUUUGGUUUUGCACAACGUUAACGCUGAUUUUUCAAUUAUUCACUAUUAUAUCACUUUGCCUUUUUAUUUUUCGCACAAUUAUCUCGUAAUUAAUACAACUCGCUGUUCGUGCGUCGCGCCUUCUCACUCGUGGUUUCUCUGGCGCGCUCCUCGCAUACGUCGCCACGAUUGCGUUACGUUUUUAGAAAUAGCGGAGUCAGUAUACUAUGUAUAAGAAGGAGAAGGAGGAGGAGGAGGAGGAGGAGGAGGAGGUGGUGGAGGUGGAGGAGAGGGAGAGAAGUAUGUAAGAGCGACAGAAACAGGGAGGAUAGAAGGAGGGACAAGGAAAGAAGUAGCACGCGCGAGAAAGAGAGAGAGAGCGAAACUGCGAACAAGGGAGAAGAAGCGGAGGAGAAAGGAAAGACGAGGAGGGUUGAGAAGGAAGAGGAGGAGAAGGAAAGGAGAGGAAGAGAGAAGGGGGAAGAAAAAGAAAGAAGGAGGGAAGGAGAAAAAGGAAAGAGAGAUAGAGGAAGGGAAAGGCAGGAAAAUUAGACACUGAGAGGAAGAGAGAAAGGAGAAAGAAAGAGAGAGGGGGAGAAAGAGAGAGAGAAGAAGAAUACAGCCUCUCUCACGAGUUGGAUUCUGUUAAGGUUAAAAAGUUAGAUCGUAGAUCGCGAAAUUAAAAACAAACACACGCUACGGGAUUCUCGGCUCUACUGCACUAUCCAUGCAUGUGCCGCGGUGAGCUACCCGUAGAUUCCUGAGUUUGAACGCAUGCGCAGCACUUGUUUUGCGCAUGCGUCGUCCGUGUAUUGGUCUUGCGUACCUCUAUCGGCGCGCUUCUACCGCCCACUACCAUAUACGGCCUCUGCGUACGCGCGAGUACUGAUCGUGAUCGUGAGGUACGCGCCAUACCAUCACCGCAUACAAGUUGGAUAAUUCAGGGACGUAGAUAUCUACUAGCAUACCCUGCCUCUUGCGAUCUUUGUGAUUC